AUUCCUUAAAGGCUGUAGAAAUCAAUAAAUAUUAAUGCAACUUUAUUAACUCAUUUGACACACUUGUAUUUUAUCAGAUUGAAAAAUAGGUUAUUUACUAUUUAGAGAAAUAAACUUAAGAGAAAAGCUUUCGAUAUAUAGAAGAAAAUUGCACAAUCUACGAACGAUAUUGGAAAAAUAAAAGAACAUUUACUAGAAUAAGAUAAACAGAUGAUUUCAUCUUAUAUCGAAAUCGCGUUGUGUCUCUCAUUCUGUUCGAACAUCAGAUCUCCAAAAUGUAUAAUGGCCAUUACAUUAAUAAAUAAUAAAAAGCAAUAAAUUGCGUAAAAAUAAAGCGAU